GGCAACAGCUCAAAUUUGAAAUCUGGCCCCCCGGGCCCGAGUUGUAAUUUGCAGAGGAUGCUUUCGGUGCGGCCCCUUCUGAGUCCCCUGGAAUGGGGCGCCACAGAGGGUGAGAGCCCCGUAUAGUCGGACGCCAAACCGGUGUAAAGCUCCUUCGACGAGUCGAGUAGUUUGGGAAUGCUGCUCUAAAUGGGAGGUAAAUUUCUUCUAAAGCUAAAUAUAGGCCAGAGACCGAUAGCGCACAAGUAGAGUGAUCGAAAGAUGAAAAGCACCUUGAAAAGAGGGUUAAACAGUACGUGAAAUUGUUGAAAGGGAAGCGCUUGUGACCAGACUCGCGCCCGGCGGAUCAUCCAGCGUUCUCGCUGGUGCGCUCCGCCGCGGCUCGGGCCAGCAUCGGUUUCCGCCGGGGGACAAAGGCGCCGGGAACGUGGCUCCCCUCGGGGAGUGUUAUAGCCCGGCGUGCAAUGCCCCGGCGGGGACCGAGGACCGCGCUUCGGCAAGGAUGCUGGCGUAAUGGUCAUCAGCGACCCGUCUUGAAACACGGACCAAGGAGUCAAGCAUUAGGGCGAGUGUUUGGGUGUCAAACCCGCACGCGAAAUGAAAGUGAACGCAGGUGAGAGCUUCGGCGCAUCAUCGACCGAUCCUGAUGUAUUCGGAUGGAUUUGAGUAGGAGCCUUAACGCUUGGACCCGAAAGAUGGUGAACUAUGCCUGUAUAGGGUGAAGCCAGAGGAAACUCUGGUGGAGGCUCGCAGCGGUUCUGACGUGCAAAUCGAUCGUCAAAUAUGGGCAUAGGGGCGAAAGACUAAUCGAACCAUCUAGUAGCUGGUUACCGCCGAAGUUUCCCUCAGGAUAGCAGUGUUGUUCUUCAGUUUUAUGAGGUAAAGCGAAUGAUUAGGGACUCGGGGG
rnacentral:rRNA from 1 species